AUUGAACGCUGGCGGCAGGCCUAACACAUGCAAGUCGAGCGGAUGAAGAGAGCUUGCUCUCUGAUUCAGCGGCGGACGGGUGAGUAAUGCCUAGGAAUCUGCCUGGUAGUGGGGGACAACGUUUCGAAAGGAACGCUAAUACCGCAUACGUCCUACGGGAGAAAGCAGGGGACCUUCGGGCCUUGCGCUAUCAGAUGAGCCUAGGUCGGAUUAGCUAGUAGGUGAGGUAAAGGCUCACCUAGGCGACGAUCCAUAACUGGUCUGAGAGGAUGAUCAGUCACACUGGAACUGAGACACGAUCCAGACUCCUACGGGAGGCAGCAGGGGGGAAUAUUGGACAAUGGGCGAAAGCCUGAUCCAGCCAUGCCGCGUGUGUGAAGAAGGUCUUCGGAUUGUAAAGCACUUUAAGUUGGGAGGAAGGGCAGUAAGUUAAUACCUUGCUGUUUUGACGUUACCAACAGAAUAAGCACCGGCUAACUUCGUGCCAGCAGCCGCAGUAA
rnacentral:rRNA from 1 species